rnacentral:rRNA from 1 species
GGCGUAGGGCGCGAGCGUUGUCCGGAUUUAUUGGGCGUAAAGAGCUCGUAGGCGGCUUGUCACGUCGGAUGUGAAAGCCCGGGGCUUAACCCCGGGUCUGCAUUCGAUACGGGCAGGCUAGAGUGUGGUAGGGGAGAUCGGAAUUCCUGGUGUAGCGGUGAAAUGCGCAGAUAUCAGGAGGAACACCAGUGGCGAAGGCGGCUCACUGGACUGGUAUUGACGCUGAGGUGCGAAAGCGUGGGGAGCAAACAGG